CAAUUAGAAAAAUUAGAAAAGUCAUGCAUAGGGGGAUUUUCAGCUUGCACGAAUCUUUUUUCGGCCUAUUGCUUGAGUUGGAAUUUUGUGUGGAAUUCAAAAUUUAAAGGUAUUUUUGUUUACUUUCCCUCUUUGCACAUUUUUUUGCUUUUGUUUUCCUUUGCGCAAAGUUGUUUCCCCCCCCCCCCCCUUAUCACCUUUUAAAUCCAAUAAUAUUAUCUCGGUCAUUUACUGCAUUCUCCUCCUAUGCAAGAUAUGGAUCUAGAACGGCUACUAUACAGCAGAAAAGAAAUUAAGGUAUCAUAAGACAAAAAACUCUCAUUAUUCUUACAUAAUGACUAAACCUUUAUCUUACACCCGAAGAAAAAGAUCGUACGGAUAAAAAAACUAUCCUAAUGCGGCUCUGUACUGUACAGCAUUUGUCAAAGUUUUAUACACUAUAUAAAGAGUGAAUAACUAAAAACUGUAAUGUACAACAACUCUUUUGACAUAAAAAAAAUUGAAGUGAAGUUUCAAACAGGAGAGAGUGAGGGACAGUAAGGACUGGCAAAGUAGCUCAAGUUGGGUCUAUGAGGGAUAAAGGCACCGUGAAGUCGUGAACCAUGAGAACGUGAUGUUGGAACUUGGGGAAGAGGGAUGCAGAAACCGGGGAAUGGGAGAAUAAAAACUGAUCUAGCUCGGGUAGUAAGUUAACUACAUUUUUUAGUAGCAAGUUCAACUACAGUAGGUAAGGGGGACGAAAAAGUAACUAGCUUUGAGAUGAGCUAGUGCAGCAAAUUUUUGAGAAAUUUUAAAAAUGCCUCAACCUGGCUGGAAACGUUCUCAAAAAUUGUCGAAAAACAUUUCUUUCAUCAAAACAAUUACUUUCGACCGAUUAAGUCAAGUUUUGAAAAAAAACUGGAAAUGACUUUGGGAAAGUCUAGGUGGCGAGAAGAUACAAUAUUAUUUUUGAGUAUUAAAAAACAAUAUUUUACGAACGAGCGUGAAUAAAAUAUUGUUUUUAACACGAGAAAAUAAUAUUCAUGUCUUCGAGCCUCCGUGGUUGUUCUUUUUGUCAUAUGGACCCAAAUUUUAAAAACUUACUUUGAAUAAGAACAGACUUUAUUUGACAACCGACAGUCCCGCGAGGAAACACACGCGUUACUAUCGUUACAUAUUUUUUUCCAACAUGAUCUCUUCUCAAAAUGAAGGCUAUGUCUUAAUUGUAAAACUCUUAAAAAUUAUAGAUAUGGCUUAAAUUUGAAAAUCUCCAAAAUUAAGACAUAAC